rnacentral:lncRNA from 1 species
AUACAUUAAACACGUAUUUAUUACGUUAUUGUGUGUUAACAGUAUUCUGUUCUGCUAGUAUCAUGGUACUGUAUUUUCUCGAUAUUUAUCUUCAUACAAAAUUCUAUAAUUCAUGAACAAAUGAAUUUCCUACGACAUUGUGUGAUAUUUCAAGAUAUUGUAGAACAUCGUAUCACCUAAGACGAAACAAAAGACGUCAUACAAGUUUUCUUGUUCAUUUGGUUGCGAUUUUGGUCUCUUUACUGCUGUGUCGGAAUUAUCUAUAAACUAUAUUGCAAUUUUCUGAGGCGGAAAUAUUUAAACGGGACAAGAAAGAACACGAAGAACAAGUGAGAGAAUCAAGAUAGAAGUAAAUGGACAAGUGAUUGACCCAACAGCAUAUAACACGUCAGGAUCAUUAACACUAAGGAUCUCUCACUUUGUCGGCGAGUGGAAAUAAAGAAAAGAGGAAGAGAAUUCAGCAAUCACAAUGGAAUAUA